rnacentral:rRNA from 1 species
UACGAAGGGGGGCUAGCGUUGUUCGGAAUCACUGGGCGUAAAGGGCGCGUAGGCGGCUUUAUAAGUCGGGGGUGAAAGCCUGUGGCUCAACCACAGAAUUGCCUUCGAUACUGUAGAGCUUGAGACCGGAAGAGGUUAGUGGAACUGCGAGUGUAGAGGUGAAAUUCGUAGAUAUUCGCAAGAACACCAGUGGCGAAGGCGGCUGACUGGUCCGGUUCUGACGCUGAGGCGCGAAAGCGUGGGGAGCAAACAGG